AGGUCAGCUAAUCAGAUUUUGGGAAAGGAUCAGACCAGGAGGGCACUAACCUCAUCAAUGGAGUAACCCACUGAGGAAGAUACACCGAAGACACUGAGGUUACCUUCAAAAGAGCAGAUGGAUUAAUUCAGAGAAGGGAGAAUAAUGAUUGUGGUGAUGGAGGAGUUUUGGAGCUCAGGAGAAAGAACAACAGUGGAACUCUGCCAAGGAAGGAGGACAGAAAUUGGAGGAGAGAUUUCUUUCAUUAAGAUCCAUCAUCUUUGACCCAAAAUCAGUGUCCUGACAUAACAAAAGAUAGUAGUAUAUUUUUUCUGCCACUG
rnacentral:lncRNA from 1 species